UUAAGCGACUAAGCGUACACGGUGGAUGCCCUGGCAGUCAGAGGCGAUGAAGGACGUGCUAAUCUGCGAAAAGCGUCGGUAAGGUGAUAUGAACCGUUACAGCCGGCGAUGUCCGAAUGGGGAAACCCAGUGUGAUUCGUCACACUAUCGUUAACUGAAUACAUAGGUUAACGAGGCGAACCGGGGGAACUGAAACAUCUAAGUACCCCGAGGAAAAGAAAUCAACCGAGAUUCCCCCAGUAGCGGCGAGCGAACGGGGAGCAGCCCAGAGUCUGAAUCAGCUUGUGUGUUAGUGGAACGGUCUGGAAAGUCCGACGGUACAGGGUGAUAGUCCCGUACACCAAAAUGCACAGGCUGUGAACUCGAAGAGUAGGGCGGGACACGUGGUAUCCUGUCUGAAUAUGGGGGGACCAUCCUCCAAGGCUAAAUACUCCUGACUGACCGAUAGUGAACCAGUACCGUGAGGGAAAGGCGAAAAGAACCCCGGCGAGGGGAGUGAAAAAGAACCUGAAACCGUGUACGUACAAGCAGUGGGAGCACCUUCGGGUGUGACUGCGUACCUUUUGUAUAAUGGGUCAGCGACUUAUAUUCUGUAGCAAGGUUAACCGUAUAGGGGAGCCGCAGGGAAACCGAGUCUUAACUGGGCGUUAAGUUGCAGGGUAUAGACCCGAAACCCGGUGAUCUAGCCAUGGGCAGGUUGAAGGUUGGGUAACACUAACUGGAGGACCGAACCGACUAAUGUUGAAAAAUUAGCGGAUGACUUGUGGCUGGGGGUGAAAGGCCAAUCAAACCGGGAGAUAGCUGGUUCUCCCCGAAAGCUAUUUAGGUAGCGCCUCGUGAACUCAUCUUCGGGGGUAGAGCACUGUUUCGGCUAGGGGGUCAUCCCGACUUACCAACCCGAUGCAAACUACGAAUACCGAAGAAUGUUAUCACGGGAGACACACGGCGGGUGCUAACGUCCGUCGUGAAGAGGGAAACAACCCAGACCGCCAGCUAAGGUCCCAAAGUCAUGGUUAAGUGGGAAACGAUGUGGGAAGGCACAGACAGCCAGGAUGUUGGCUUAGAAGCAGCCAUCAUUUAAAGAAAGCGUAAUAGCUCACUGGUCGAGUCGGCCUGCGCGGAAGAUGUAACGGGGCUAAACCAUGCACCGAAGCUGCGGCAGCGACACUAUGUGUUGUUGGGUAGGGGAGCGUUCUGUAAGCCUGCGAAGGUGACCUGUGAGGGUUGCUGGAGGUAUCAGAAGUGCGAAUGCUGACAUAAGUAACGAUAAAGCGGGUGAAAAGCCCGCUCGCCGGAAGACCAAGGGUUCCUGUCCAACGUUAAUCGGGGCAGGGUGAGUCGACCCCUAAGGCGAGGCCGAAAGGCGUAGUCGAUGGGAAACAGGUUAAUAUUCCUGUACUUGGUGUUACUGCGAAGGGGGGACGGAGAAGGCUAUGUUAGCCGGGCGACGGUUGUCCCGGUUUAAGCAUGUAGGCUGAUUGUCCAGGCAAAUCCGGAUAAUCAAGGCUGAGGUGUGAUGACGAGGCACUACGGUGCUGAAGUAACAAAUGCCCUGCUUCCAGGAAAAGCCUCUAAGCAUCAGGUAACAUUAAAUCGUACCCCAAACCGACACAGGUGGUCAGGUAGAGAAUACCAAGGCGCUUGAGAGAACUCGGGUGAAGGAACUAGGCAAAAUGGUGCCGUAACUUCGGGAGAAGGCACGCUGGUGUGUAGGUGAAGUCCCUGCGGAUGGAGCUGAGACCAGUCGAAGAUACCAGCUGGCUGCAACUGUUUAUUAAAAACACAGCACUGUGCAAACACGAAAGUGGACGUAUACGGUGUGACGCCUGCCCGGUGCCGGAAGGUUAAUUGAUGGGGUUAUCCGUAAGGAGAAGCUCUUGAUCGAAGCCCCGGUAAACGGCGGCCGUAACUAUAACGGUCCUAAGGUAGCGAAAUUCCUUGUCGGGUAAGUUCCGACCUGCACGAAUGGCGUAAUGAUGGCCAGGCUGUCUCCACCCGAGACUCAGUGAAAUUGAACUCGCUGUGAAGAUGCAGUGUACCCGCGGCAAGACGGAAAGACCCCGUGAACCUUUACUAUAGCUUGACACUGAACAUUGAGCCUUGAUGUGUAGGAUAGGUGGGAGGCUUUGAAGCGUGGACGCCAGUCUGCGUGGAGCCAACCUUGAAAUACCACCCUUUAAUGUUUGAUGUUCUAACGUUGGCCCCUUACCGGGGUUGCGGACAGUGUCUGGUGGGUAGUUUGACUGGGGCGGUCUCCUCCCAAAGCGUAACGGAGGAGCACGAAGGUUAGCUAAUCCUGGUCGGACAUCAGGAGGUUAGUGCAAUGGCAUAAGCUAGCUUGACUGCGAGCGUGACGGCGCGAGCAGGUGCGAAAGCAGGUCAUAGUGAUCCGGUGGUUCUGAAUGGAAGGGCCAUCGCUCAACGGAUAAAAGGUACUCCGGGGAUAACAGGCUGAUACCGCCCAAGAGUUCAUAUCGACGGCGGUGUUUGGCACCUCGAUGUCGGCUCAUCACAUCCUGGGGCUGAAGUAGGUCCCAAGGGUAUGGCUGUUCGCCAUUUAAAGUGGUACGCGAGCUGGGUUUAGAACGUCGUGAGACAGUUCGGUCCCUAUCUGCCGUGGGCGCUGGAGAAUUGAGGGGGGCUGCUCCUAGUACGAGAGGACCGGAGUGGACGCAUCACUGGUGUUCGGGUUGUCAUGCCAAUGGCACUGCCCGGUAGCUAAAUGCGGAAGAGAUAAGUGCUGAAAGCAUCUAAGCACGAAACUUGCCCCGAGAUGAGUUCUCCCUGAGACUUUAAGUCUCCUGAAGGAACGUUAAAGACGAUGACGUUGAUAGGCCGGGUGUGUAAGCGCAGCGAUGCGUUGAGCUAACCGGUACUAAUGAACCGUGAGGCUUAACCUU
rnacentral:rRNA from 1 species